rnacentral:rRNA from 1 species
GGAAUAUUGGACAAUGGGGGAAACCCUGAUCCAGCCAUGCCGCGUGGGUGAUGAAGGCCCUAGGGUUGUAAAGCCCUUUCGGCGGGGACGAUAAUGACGGUACCCGCCGCAGACGCCCCGGCUCACUUCGUGCCAGCAGCCGCGGUAAUACGAAGGGGGCUAGCGUUGCUCGGAAUCACGGGGCGUAAAGCGCACGUAGGCGGCUUUCUAAGUCAGGGGUGAAAUCCUGGAGCUCAACUCCAGAACUGCCUUUGAUACGGGAAAGCUUGAGUGCGGGAGAGGUGAGUGGAACUGCGAGUGUAGAGGUGAAAUUCGUAGAUAUUCGCAAGAACACCAGUGGCGAAGGCGGCUCACUGGCCCGAUACUGACGCUGAGGUGCGAAAGCGUGGGGAGCAAAC